UCCUUGUUAGCUCAGUUGGUAGAGCGUUCGGCUUUUAAGCACUGCUUGCAAGGAACCGAAAUGUCAGGGGUUCGAGCCCCCUAUGAGGAG
rfam:Kluyveromyces marxianus DMKT3-1042 DNA, complete genome, chromosome 3.